GGGCCAUGAAAUUUUUCAGCCGGAUGGGUCACAAAAUUUUUUGGAGGAAAAUUUAUUUUCCCCUCCGACCUCUUUUAGCAGUUACUUUAUGAGCCACUUGGCUAUGUUUACAUUGUAUCGGAUCGGUUUUUGCUUCGUUCGCGAAACGUUACGGUCCAAGUGUAAACAGCUUUCACUCCCGCCCUUCUAUGCCGUCGUAUUUGCUUGUAUAUAUUUACCAAAUACAAAAAUAUUGCAGACAUCAUAUAAAAGAGUGAGCAAGCUAUACCCGCAAAUAGGAUUAGAAUAGCAAGUUUUUGUUUGCUGGACGCCAUCUUGAGUUACGCAUUGAACCGAAAAU